GCUUAAAGUUAUCAUUAUAAUAAUGCACUGACAGUAUAUUUCCAAAAUACAUUAUUUAGUAUUCUUUAGAAACAGUAUAUUUUAAGCACAUUUUGAAAGUAUAUGGGGUGUACAAAUGUAUAUUAUUUUAUGGAGAAAUAACGUGGGCUUAAAAUUACGAGAGAGCAGUAUGUUCUGUUACAUUUUAUAUUGUAGAUGUAUACAUUUGUAAUAUACUAUUAACAUAAUAAGGUACACUUUAACUUCACUAUAGUCAAGCAUUGGAUAAACCAAUUAACUGUGUUUUACCACAAAAUAACCAUGGUUUUGCUAAUAAUAAUCAACACACCAAAAAAAAAACAUGGUUACUAAACUUUAACCACAAAAAAAACAUUCAUUUUCGUAAGGGGAAUAUGAGUGUUUGUUUUUUUGUAGUUUUUGAGUCAAUUGCAUACCGCUUUUAGCUGUACACAUUAAUUAACUUAAACAGUUUUCGUAAAUGCAUUUCAGAGAAAAGUGAAUUCUGAGAUUUGAAUAAUGCAUCUGACGUGUAGGAUGACGUCACGACGCACGUAUUUUGAUUUUUACCAGUUGUUCAAGACAGACGGAUUCAGUCCCAAGAAGCUAAAGUUUUUCAAAGACAUUUGUAGGGAGGACUUUGCAGCUAAUGAUUUCCUACGGCUGAACCAAAACCUGCCAGACUAAAGUUGAUUUGGGAGAGAAAGACGUUGUAAACUAGGGCUGCACGAUAAAUCGCAUGCGAUACCACGCGCAUCACGUCAGUAAUGCCGGUUCCCUGAUUAGUAUUAAAUCGCCAUCAGCUGUUUUCAGAUGGAGCAGCACUAACUACACAGAGCCUUAAGCCCGGGAUACACUGCACGAUUAUUGGCUGUCCCAGACGAAAGAUUGCCAUCGUGAAACUAUCGUCGCGAUUUCUGUGAUCGUGGCUCUCCAUCGGUGGUCCUAUGUCGUACAGUGAGAGAGGUUCAAAGACGGACGUUUUCCCAGUCUUGCGUCCAAAGAUAGCCUACGAUAGUUUUCUGACAGUGUCAGAAAUUCGCCAUGAUCACCGCACUGUGUGUUUGCUGCUACGACCUGCGCGCCGGUAUUUGUUUACCACAAGCUCAUGCUGGUGACGUUGCGCAACAUGUGACGCUGCCGCCAAAGCUUCCGUGUCAUCAUCGUACAGUCUACAUGCCUCUCGUACCCGAGUUUAAACGAUACAUGUCGCACAGUGUGAUAAGGUAAUGAUCUUAUAAGAGGACAAAAAUCGUGCAGUGUAUUCCGGGCUUUAGUUCCCUGACAAGCUGGGCCAUAUCGCAUACAUAUCGCAGGCGAUACGUCCGCGAUAAUUAAUGCGAAAUUGCCCCGAUUGUCAGUGAACUACGGCUCUGUGUAGUUAAAGCUGCUCCAUCUGAAAACAGCUGAUGGCGAUUUAAUACUAAUCAAGGAACCGGCAUUACUGAGGAGAUAUGCCUGACAAACACAUGCGAUUUAUCGUGCAGCCCUAAACUCAAUCAUCUUGACAUUCUUCAAUGAGUAAUUGUUCAAUUUUUAGGCAAAUACUGUACACUUUGAAUGCUGUGAAUAAAACUAUAUUUUAAAUAUA